AUAAGUCUAUCCUGGCCCACUGAAAAUUUAAAGGGCCGCGGUAAACUAACUGUGCAAAGGUAGCAUAAUCAUUAGUUUUUUAAUUGAAGGCUUGUAUGAAUGGUUGGACAAGAAUUAAACUGUCUUUAUAUUUUGAAAUUUAACUUUACUUUUAAGUGAAAAGGCUUAAAUGUUUUUAAGGGACGAUAAGACCCUAUAAAUCUUUAUGGGAAGUAAUUUAGUUAAAAAAAUAAUAGUUAAGAUUUUAAUUUAAUUAUUUACCAUUGUGCUGGGGCGGUGUUAAUAUUUAGUAAACUGUUAAUCUUUUUUACAAAUAAUUUGUCUAUUUAAUUGAUCUUUUAUAAAAAUAAAGAGUUUAAGUUACUUUAGGGAUAACAGCG
rnacentral:rRNA from 1 species